rnacentral:rRNA from 1 species
GAAGAACGCUGGCGGCGUGCUUAACACAUGCAAGUCGAACGGAAAGGCCCUGCUUUUGUGGGGUGCUCGAGUGGCGAACGGGUGAGUAACACGUGAGUAACCUGCCCUUGACUUUGGGAUAACUUCAGGAAACUGGGGCUAAUACCGGAUAGGAGCUCCUGCCGCAUGGUGGGGGUUGGAAAGUUUCGGCGGUUGGGGAUGGACUCGCGGCUUAUCAGCUUGUUGGUGGGGUAGUGGCUUACCAAGGCUUUGACGGGUAGCCGGCCUGAGAGGGUGACCGGCCACAUUGGGACUGAGAUACGGCCCAGACUCCUACGGGAGGCAGCAGUGGGGAAUAUUGCACAAUGGGCGGAAGCCUGAUGCAGCAACGCCGCGUGCGGGAUGACGGCCUUCGGGUUGUAAACCGCUUUCGCCUGUGACGAAGCGUGAGUGACGGUAAUGGGUAAAGAAGCACCGGCUAACUACGUG